rnacentral:rRNA from 1 species
CAGAGGGGGCAAGCGUUGUUCGGAAUUACUGGGCGUAAAGGGCGCGUAGGUGGCCCGCUAAGUCGAACGUGAAAUCCCCGAGCUCAACUCGGGAACUGCGUCCGAUACUGGCGGGCUUGAAUCCGGGAGAGGGAUGCGGAAUUCCAGGUGUAGCGGUGAAAUGCGUAGAUAUCUGGAGGAACACCGGUGGCGAGGGCGGCAUCCUGGACCGGCAUUGACGCUGAGGCGCGAAAGCUAGGGGAGCAAACGGGAUUAGAUACCCCGGUAGUCCUAGCCCUAAACGAUGAAUGCUUGGUGUGGCGGGUAUCGAUCCCUGCCGUGCCGAAGCUAACGCAUUAAGCAUUCCGCCUGGGGAGUACGGUCGCAAGGCUG